rnacentral:rRNA from 1 species
GGGCCCGCACAAGCGGUGGAGCACGUGGUUUAAUUCGAUGCAAACCGAAGAACCUUACCUGGGUUUGACAUGUACGCCGACGAGGAUGAAAGUCCGAGGGCCUGGCUUGCCAGGCGGCGUAUGCAGGUGCUGCAUGGCUGUCGUCAGCUCGUGUCGUGAGAUGUUGGGUUAAGUCCCGCAACGAGCGCAACCCUUGUUGUCAGUUGCCAACGGGGAGAGCCGGGCACUCUGGCGAGACUGCCGCCGACAAGGCGGAGGAAGGUGGGGACGACGUCAAGUCAUCAUGGCCUUUAUGCCCAGGGCGACACACGUGCUACAAUGGCGCGCACAGAGGGAAGCGAUGUCGCGAGGCGGAGCGGAUCCCAGAAAGCGCGGUCUCAGUUCGGAUUGUAGUCUGCAACCCGGCUACAUGAAGCCGGAAUCGCUAGUAAUCGCAGAUCAGCCAAGCUG